AGCUUUGUGCAGCGGCAGUAUCAUACCCAGUGAGGUUUAUCCGAGACGCGAUUAUUGCUAAUUGAAAACAAUUAUUCACAUAGGAUGUCACAGAAUACUAAUUUUAAAAAGUAUGCCCUUUUUUGUGUGUAUCUUUAGGGAGG